CUACGGAGGAUCCGAGCGUUAUCCGGAUUUAUUGGGUUUAAAGGGAGCGUAGGUGGAUUGUUAGGUCAGUUGUGAAAGUUUGCGGCUCAACCGUAAAAUUGCAGUUGAAACUGGCAGUCUUGAGUACCGUAGAGGUGGGCGGAAUUCGUGGUGUAGCGGUGAAAUGCUUAGAUAUCACGAAGAACUCCGAUUGCGAAGGCAGCUCACUAGACUGUUACUGACACUGAUGCUCGAAAGUGUGGGUAUCAAACAGGAUUAGAUACCCUGGUAGUCCACACAGUAAACGAUGAAUACUCGCUGUUUGCGAUAUACAGUAAGCGGCCAAGCGAAAGCAUUAAGUAUUGCACCUGGGGAGUACGCCGGCAACGGUGAAACUCAAAUGAAUUGACGGGG
rnacentral:rRNA from 1 species